UCGUGAUGGGAAACUCUCGCGGUCGGUGACGUCAUGGCGCCAGCGACCCUCGUUGUGAGAACUCGGGUGAUGACGUGGUAUCCCCAACCAGCCGAGUGACGCGAACUCCGGGGAAAACGUCACAUCAACUAUCCAGCCAAACUUGUGGAAACUCGUGUGAUGACGUCACCUUACCAUCAAGUGUCUGGAUCGGAACUCGCGCGAUCGACGACAUCAUGUCACCCGCUCAGUCCCUCGGUGGGACCUCGGGUGGUGACGUAAUGUCCCCGAUCCAGCCCAGUGGCGCGAAACUCGGGCGACGACCUGACGUCGACACCCAAGUGGAGUGGCGCGAACCCCAGGCGAUGACGUCGUGUUACCGCCAUUUCGAACGGGGAGUUCGGUCGAUGACGCCAUGCAGCUCAGGAGUUGCAAGUUCAAGAGGUCACCACUUUGGCCACCGCUUCCUUCCUCCUGCCCAGAUCAUGCGUGAGACGUCACGCGGCUUGGGUCGUGUCGGGUGACGAUAAGAGCCCAGAACGACGGCCGCCGGUAGAACCGAGGGAGGGCUGGGGAGGGGUGGGGGGUCGUCGUCAUCGUCGGGAUGGAGAGCGGCAUGAGCCUGCUCCGGAGAGACGCGGGAAGGAGUGCGCGGUGGCGGCAGCUCGAGAGGGGGCGAGCAUGCGGCCUGGUGCGCGAGGCGACGCUUCAUUUACACGUGGUUUGGGAAGAUAACGGGAAGAACCCGGAGGAAACCCAUACAGAACAAGUGGGGGGAGAGGGAGAUAGAGGAAACACAAACUCGAAGCGGAGGAAGGCGCCCGCAUUGGGAAUCGAACCCUGUGAUGCGCGAGGAGUUACCGCGUAGCCACCGCCUCCUCCACCGCCACCACUCUCCCCUGGUGCCCUGCGUGUGCACCCUCCGUAGUCCGUCGUGUUUCGUGCGAGCGAGGGGUGCGUGUGUUCAAGUCGGUGGGGAGAACAACAACAAAUAUAUACAUGGACUCCUCUACUUACGAACGAGUUAGGUACCAGAGGUCUGUUCGUAAGUCGAUUUGUUCGUAAGUCUCAACUUUACUCAUGUCGAUUCCGAACAUGUACGGCGUGCUCACUAAACACGGGGGAGUGGCUUUAAAAGUUGGAUAAUCUCCUGGAGAUGUUGAUACCACUGGUUCUUCAUAUUCUGCAGAUGUAG